GACGAACGCUGGCGGCGUGCUUAACACAUGCAAGUCGAACGGUGAAGCGCCUUCCUUUUUGGUGGGUGUGGAUGAGUGGCGAACGGGUGAGUAACACGUGAGUAACCUGCCCCCUUCUUCUGGAUAACCGCAUGAAAGUGUGGCUAAUACGGGAUAUUCUGGGUCUGUCGCAUGAUGGGUCUGGGAAAGAUAUUGUUUCGGUGGGGGAUGGGCUCGCGGCCUAUCAGCUUGUUGGUGGGGUGAUGGCCUACCAAGGCGGUGACGGGUAGCCGGCCUGAGAGGGUGGACGGUCACACUGGGGCUGGGACACGGCCCAGACUCCUACGGGAGGCAGCAGUGGGGAAUAUUGCACAAUGGGCGCAAGCCUGAUGCAGCGACGCCGCGUGAGGGAUGGAGGCCUUCGGGUUGUGAACCUCUUUCGCCAGUGAAGCAGGCCUGCCUCGUUUGUGGGUGGGUUGACGGUAGCUGGAUAAGAAGCGCCGGCUAACUACGUG
rnacentral:rRNA from 1 species